rnacentral:rRNA from 1 species
AUGGCGGACGCGGUGAGUAAUGUCUGGGAAACUGCCUGAUGGAGGGGGAUAACUACUGGAAACGGUAGCUAAUACCGCAUAACGUCGCAAGACCAAAGAGGGGGACCUUCGGGCCUCUUGCCAUCGGAUGUGCCCAGAUGGGAUUAGCUAGUAGGUGGGGUAACGGCUCACCUAGGCGACGAUCCCUAGCUGGUCUGAGAGGAUGACCAGCCACACUGGAACUGAGACACGGUCCAGACUCCUACGGGAGGCAGCAGUGGGGAAUAUUGCACAAUGGGCGCAAGCCUGAUGCAGCCAUGCCGCGUGUAUGAAGAAGGCCUUCGGGUUGUAAAGUACUUUCAGCGGGGAGGAAGGCGAUAAGGUUAAUAACCUUGUCGAUUGACGUUACCCGCAGAAGAAGCACCGGCUAACUCCGUGCCAGCAGCCGCGGUAAUACGGAGGGUGCAAGCGUUAAUCGGAAUUACUGGGCGUAAAGCGCACGCAGGCGGUCUGUCAAGUCGGAUGUGAAAUCCCCGGGCUCAACCUGGGAACUGCAUUCGAAACUGGCAGGCUAGAGUCUUGUAUAGGGGGGUAGAAUUCCAGGUGUA